rnacentral:misc_RNA from 1 species
AACCAGAGUGCAGAUGUUCGCAAGGUAAUAGACUCAUUUUUGUUUGCAUUAAAUAAGUUAUAUUUCUUGCUUCACAAACUGGUGAAUUUCACUAGAAAUGACUGAUCAAUCAAUGGUACUUACUCGGAUUACCGUCAAUAAUAUUGUAUGAAAAUUUACUACUAAAUGCCAUGUUGAAUAAUUUUUGGGGGGGUUUCCUUUCCCUGCAAACAUGUUAUUGAAAUGUUCUAAUUUACUUGUUUGUUGAGCGGUACAGACUGUUGUUUUCUGCCUGGUGGAUAUUUAUAUUAUGCUUGGGAAAGCAUUUUUGCCA